rnacentral:rRNA from 1 species
UACGGAGGGUGCAAACGUUGCUCGGAAUCAUUGGGCGUAAAGCGCACGUAGGCGGCGCGUUAAGUCGGAUGUGAAAGCCCCGGGCUCAACCCGGGAAGUGCAUACGAAACUGGCGCGCUUGAAUAUGGAAGAGGGUCGCGGAAUUCCCGGUGUAGAGGUGAAAUUCGUAGAUAUCGGGAGGAACACCAGUGGCGAAGGCGGCGACCUGGGCCAAUAUUGACGCUGAGGCGCGAAAGCUAGGGGAGCAAACGGG